UACGUAGGGUGCGAGCGUUAAUCGGAAUUACUGGGCGUAAAGCGUGCGCAGGCGGUUUUGUAAGCCAGAUGUGAAUCCCCGGGCUUAACCUGGGAAAUGGCAUUUGGGACUGCAAGGCUGGAGUGUGGCAGGAGGAGACUGGAAUUCCUGGUGUAGGCAGUGAAAUGCGUAGGAUAUCAGGAGGAAUACCGAAUGGCGAAGGCAGGUCUCUGGGC
rnacentral:rRNA from 1 species